AUUAUGCAGUAUUAUAUUUUUCCAUAUAAAAUUAUUACGUCAUAAUAUUUUUCAGACAGAUUACGACUGCUAAGUAAUCAUAUUAUGAUUCGAUAUAAAGACAGUUCCGAUCAUAACGCCAUGACGUGUUUCCGACAUGAUGUUUUUCCACAUUAAUAUUCACGGUUUAUCAAUUAAUUCCAAACUAUUCAUCUAUGAAACUUACAUCAGACCAGCUAUCAUCGCUUACGCAGGGUCUGCAUGGACAGUCUCGACAUAUCUAAAUCCUGCAGUUGGUCAAAACUGGAGGCGCUGCAAUCUACUAUACUCUCGGCCAAAUCACAGGAUUGGGCUGCGGGUAGGUCAAACGAUACCAUCAGAUCGUCAUUACAAAUCCUCACACUAAAAGGCUCCAUACGCCAAAAACAGAUGUUACUUCUGCAAAAUAAUAAUAAUAUUAUGUUUCGAUAAAAAUACAGUUCCGAUCAUAACGUCACGACGUGAUGUUUUUCCACAAUCAAUUCACGGUUCCAAACCAACCACGAUUGUCCAAUUUUGUGUGCGCACGCUUGGCUGCAAAUCGCCACAAAUGUCACUCGUCGGAAAAUCGCGCACGAUAUAUUGCAUCGUAUCGAAGAAAAAUUAAUAAUAUUUCUUUGUGCGUGUGGUAUAGCACGUAGUUAUAAUAUUAUAAUAUAAUAACUGUGCAUGUGGUCGGCGUGGGACGCGUACACUAUUAUAGAAACAAUUAUUAUUAUCAUUAUUAUAAUAUUAUAGUGUCGCCGAGCUCGAUAGUUAUUUAAACAAUCGAUCGACUGACAAAUCGAAAUAUAGGUGCGUGAUACGUUA